rnacentral:rRNA from 1 species
UACGUAGGGGGCUAGCGUUGUCCGGAUUUAUUGGGCGUAAAGAGCGUGUAGGCGGCCAGGUAGGUCUGGUGUGAAAACUCGAGGCUUAACCUCGAGAUGUCAUCGGAAACCAUCUGGCUAGAGUCCGGAAGAGGAGAGUGGAAUUCCUGGUGUAGCGGUGAAAUGCGCAGAUAUCAGGAGGAAUACCGGUGGCGAAGGCGGCAUCCUGGACCGGCAUUGACGCUGAGUGAGCGAAAGCCAGGGGAGCAAACGGG